AACAGAGGCAAAGAUAUACAAACCAAAAGCGGAAGAACUACUUCUCCUCUGGAUGUCUGGGAGUAACCAGGUAGGUCAACUCAAGCCAGAUGACAAGUAGAGAGAGGUGACAAGAGGUGUGUUGGACAGCUCGGAGAGGACUGAAGCAUCCAACCUCCUUCCAAAGCUACCUGUACUGAUGCAGCCAUACACUUGCCCUUGGGCAAGAGAAGUUCAUUACAGCCUGCUCCACAAAAAGGGGA
rnacentral:antisense_RNA from 1 species